CCUAGAUUUCUUUCCUUAUCUCAGAUGGGAAGCACACAGAGUUGGCUAAUAACCCAAGGAGAGUUCAGGGUCCUUGAUUCAUCAGACUCAUCAGCUCUUAGGAUAACAGUGCCAUUCACCUUUGCUGACUGUGUUGGAGAUAAAGUUCCUUUAGAGUGGGAGACUGUAUAUAAUAAACAAAUUGCAAUUUAUUACCCAGACCACAUAAAUACAACAGGACUUAUCACAAAAAAGUCCUCAAGACUGUGGCAUUUGAUAAGCUGUCCUCAUGAGAAGUUUUGCCUGACCACAACUGCUUCCACCGGUGAGCUAAUAGCAGUUCCUGCAAUAGGCUUUGUGACCUAUUAUGUUUAUUGAAAAGCAGCUUGUCCUUUUGUUGUUAGGUGUUCCCUUAUUGCAACCUCUUAGAG
rnacentral:lncRNA from 1 species